UACGGAGGAUCCGAGCGUUAUCCGGAUUUAUUGGGUUUAAAGGGUGCGUAGGCGGACUGGUAAGUCAGUGGUGAAAUCCUGCAGCUUAACUGUAGAAUUGCCGUUGAUACUGUUAGUCUUGAGUACAUUUGAGGUAGGCGGAAUGUGGUGUGUAGCGGUGAAAUGCAUAGAUAUACCACAGAACACCGAUUGCGAAGGCAGCUUACUAAACUGUAACUGACGCUGAGGCACGAAAGCGUGGGUAUCAAACAGG
rnacentral:rRNA from 1 species